rnacentral:rRNA from 1 species
AGAGUUUGAUCAUGGCUCAGGAUGAACGCUGGCGGCGUGCUUAACACGUGCAAGUCACGGGGGCCAGCAAUGGCAACCGGCGAACGGGUGCGUAACACGUGAGCAACCUACCGAAAUGAGGGGGAUAGCCGGCCCAACGGCCGGGUAAUACCGCAUACGCUCGAGACCAGGCAUUUGGACUCGAGGAAACCUCCGGGGCAUUUCGAGGGGCUCGCGGCCUAUCAGCUAGUUGGUGAGGUAACGGCUCACCAAGGCGACGACGGGUAGCUGGUCUGAGAGGAUGGCCAGCCACAUUGGGACUGAGAUACGGCCCAGACUCCUACGGGAGGCAGCAGUGGGGAAUCUUGCGCAAUGGCCUAACGGCUGACGCAGCGACGCCGCGUGAGGGAUGACGCUCUUCGGAGUGUAAACCUCUUUUGCCCGGGACGAAUUGCCAACUUUAGUUGGUUUGACGGUACCGGGUGAAUAAGCACCGGCUAACUCCGUGCCAGCAGCCGCGGUAAUACGGGGGGUGCGAGCGUUGUCCGGAAUCACUGGGCGUAAAGGGCGCGUAGGUGGUCUUAUAAGGGUGUGGUGAAAGCCCGGGGCUCAACCCCGGGUCGGCCGUGCCGACUGUAAGACUAGAGUGCUGUAGGGGCAGGCGGAAUUCCGGGUGUAGCGGUGGAAUGCGUAGAGAUCCGGAGGAAGACCGGUGGCGAAGGCGGCCUGCUGGGCAGAUACUGACACUGAGGCGCGACAGCGUGGGGAGCAAACAGGAUUAGAUACCCUGGUAGUCCACGCCGUAAACGAUGGGUACUAGGUGCUUGGGGGAGCGACCCCUUGGGUGCCGGCGCUAACGCAGGAAGUACCCCGCCUGGGGAGUACGGCCGCAAGGCUGAAACUCAAAGGAAUUGACGG